UACGGGGGGAGCAAGCGUUGUUCGGAUUUACUGGGCGUAAAGGGCGCGUAGGCGGCCACCGCAAGUCAGUUGUGAAAUCUCUGGGCUUAACCCAGAAAGGUCAACUGAUACUGCGGGGCUAGAGUGCAGAAGGGGCAACUGGAAUUCUCGGUGUAGCGGUGAAAUGCGUAGAUAUCGAGAGGAACACCUGCGGCGAAGGCGGCGCACUGGACCACAUCUGACGCUGAGGCGCGAAAGCUAGGGGAGCAAACAGG
rnacentral:rRNA from 1 species